rnacentral:tRNA from 1 species
UCCUGGUGGCUCAGAUGGCAAAGAGUCUGCCUGUAAAGCAGGAGACCCAGGUUUGAUCCCUGGGUCGGGAA